UACGUAGGGGGCAAGCGUUGUCCGGAUUUAUUGGGCGUAAAGAGCGUGUAGGCGGUCUGGUAGGUCCGUUGUGAAAACUCGAGGCUCAACCUCGAGAUGUCGGCGGAAACCGUCUGGCUAGAGUCCGGAAGAGGAGAGUGGAAUUCCUGGUGUAGCGGUGAAAUGCGCAGAUAUCAGGAAGAACACCUAUGGCGAAGGCAGCUCUCUGGGACGGUACUGACGCUGAGACGCGAAAGCGUGGGGAGCGAACAGG
rnacentral:rRNA from 1 species